AUUGGAGGAAAGUAGGGGAUCGCAAGACCUCGCGCUAUUAGAGCGGCCGAUGCCCGAUUAGCUAGUUGGUGAGGUAAUGGCCCACCAAGGCAACGAUCGGUAGCUGGUCUGAGAGGACGACCAGCCACACUGGGACUGAGACACGGCCCAGACUCCUACGGGAGGCAGCAGUGGGGAAUUUUGGACAAUGGGGGCAACCCUGAUCCAGCCAUGCCGCGUGUGUGAUGAAGGCCUUCGGGUUGUAAAGCACUUUCGGACGGAACGAAAUCGCGUGGGCGAAUAUCCCGCGUGGAUGACGGUACCGUAAGAAGAAGCACCGGCUAACUACGUGCCAGCAGCCGCGGUAAUACGUAGGGUGCGAGCGUUAAUCGGAAUUACUGGGCGUAAAGGGUGCGCAGGCGGCUUCGCAAGUCAGGCGUGAAAUCCCCGAGCUUAACUUGGGAAUUGCGUUUGAAACUACAAGGCUAGAAU
rnacentral:rRNA from 1 species